CCAUCAGCGGGGCGAAGCCUGACCGCAAUGCUGUGUGUGUGAAGAAGGCCUUCGGGUUGUAAACUGCUUUUGUUGGAAAAGAAAAGUUCUUUUUAAUACCUUGGCUGCUGACGUUACCCUAAGAAAAGCACUGGCUAAUCUGUGCCAGCAGCCGCGGUAUACAUAGAGUGCGAGCGUAAUCGGAAUACUGGCGUAAAGGUGCGCGGUGGAAUCAUAAGUCAGAUGUGAAAUCCCCGAGCUUAACUUGGGAAUUGCAUUUGAUAACUGGGUUUCUAGAAUACGGUAGAGGGGGGUGGGAAUUCCCCGUGUAGCGGUGAGGGGGGUAGAUAUCCGAAGGAACACCGAUGGCGAAAGCGGCUUCCUGGACCUGUACUGACACUUAUGUGCGAAAG
rnacentral:rRNA from 1 species